ACAUAUGCUUCCUACUGAUGAGGCUCAUAACAGACCAGACUUAUUAGCUCGGAUUUUUCAUGCUAAACUUGAUCUUCUCAAAGAAGAACUCUUCAGAAAAGAAAUCUUUGGACCAGUAGCUGCCUAUACCUAUGUAGUUGAGUUUCAAAAACGUGGUCUGCCCCAUGCUCAUUUUCUCAUAAUCUUGAAAGCAGGGUCCAAGCUCUACUCCACAGAAUCUUAUGAUAACAUUGUGAGUGCAGAAAUUCCUGAUAAGAUGCCCAAUCGACAUUUAUUUAAUAUGGUCCGAAAGCAUAUGAUCCAUGGUCCUUGCGGAAAACAAAAUCCAGAUAAUGUUUGUAUGCAAGGAAGUCAGAAGAAGAAGUGCAAAAAUAAUUACCCAAAGCCAUUUGCUGAUACAACCUUCCAUGGAGAGAAUACAUAUCCCACUUAUCGCAGAAGGAAAGAUGGAAAGAAAAUAAUAGUUCGCGGACAUGAGUUGGAUAAUAGAUGGGUAGUUCCAUACAAUGGAUAUCUGUUAGCAAAAUUUGACUGUCAUAUAAAUGUAGAAAUUUGCUCCACAGUGAAAGCCGUGAAGUAUAUAUACAAGUAUAUAUAUAAGGGGCAUGACAGAAUACGUUUUAGAGUAAAUUCAGAUGCUUCUGAUCGACCAGAUUCUAACAUCCAACCAUCUGCAAUUGAUGAAAUAAGGGAAUUCCAGUCGGCUAGAUGGGUAUGUGCAGUAGAGGCAACUUGGAGAAUCUUCAGAUUCCAGCUAAGUGAAAUCCAUCCUUCUGUCAUUCACCUCCAGCUCCACUUAGAAAAUUGCCAAGCAAUGAAUUUCACACCCGAUCAGG
rnacentral:lncRNA from 1 species